CCCAUGACAACUCUAAUUAUACGCAGUGUUCUAGUAGAGCUGCCGAUUAAUCGAAAUCGUUUGCAAACUUAAUAAGCUGUUAUUAGCGCAUAGUAAAGUAUAGUAUUUUAUGCCAGAGAUGAUACAGAUUAAGAACUAAGCAAACUCAUUCUAUGUAGAGGCAAAUUCUUUUCCAACAGUAAAUUUCCAUUGAAAACUGUCGGCAACAUAAUAAAACACGGCUUUGCUUUUAUAAUCACACCUCAGAUUUUAUCUAUGCACAACAUUGGAGCAUAGAACUUGUGCCAAAAUUGUCAUUGUAAACCAUACUUGGAACAUAAAUAUUAAUGGAAUCGUUGUUCAAGUACCAAAAAUGUAUUUCUGGGGGGAAGUUUUCAUAUGCCGCAUGCAUAGGAAACGAAAAUAAAACCACGAAAUUAUGAAGCCAAAACAAGUAACAAAAAAAAAGAAUGUAUAGGAAAGGAGACAGUUUCUAGUUAUUCGUAGAACGGAAGUUGGCCAGCAGAGUAGAGAGGAA